rnacentral:misc_RNA from 1 species
GAAAUGCGAUAAGUAAUGUGAAUUGCAGAAUUCAGUGAAUCAUCGAAUCUUUGAACGCACCUUGCGCUCCAUGGUAUUCCGUGGAGCAUGCCUGUUUGAGUGUCAUGAAUACUUCAACCCUCCUCUUUCUUAAUGAUUGAAGAGGUGUUUGGUUUCUGAGCGCUGCUGGCCUUUACGGUCUAGCUCGUUCGUAAUGCAUUAGCAUCCGCAAUCGAACUUCGGAUUGACUUGGCGUAAUAGACUAUUCGCUGAGGAAUUCUAGUCUUCGGACUAGAGCCGGGUUGGGUUAAAGGAAGCUUCUAAUCAGAAUGUCUACAUUUUAAGAUUAGAUCUCAAAUCAGGUAGGACUACCCGCUGAACUUAA